CCCUUAGAUGUUCUGGGCAGCACGCGCGCUACAAUGGUCUUCGCAAACGGAUGCAUUCUCGAAGGAGAAUGCCAAUCUUGGAAUCUAUGCCUUGGUCGGGACAGUUGCUUGCAAUUUUUCGACUCGAACCACGAAUUCCUUGUAAUCGUGAUUCAUCACAUCACGAUGAAUACGUCCCUGCCCUUUGUACACACCGCCCGUCGCUCCUACCGAUCGAAGAGUUAGGUGAAUUGUUUUGAUCGAUAAGAUUUGACUAUGGUCAACUCUCGUUGUGAAAUUCUGUGAAUCUGACUGUUUAGAGGAAGGAAAAGUCGUAACA
rnacentral:rRNA from 1 species